CCUACGGGAGGCAGCAGUGAGGAAUAUUGGUCAAUGGACGAGAGUCUGAACCAGCCAAGUAGCGUGAAGGAUGACUGCCCUAUGGGUUGUAAACUUCUUUUAUAAAGGAAUAAAACGAGGCACGUGUGCCUUUUUGCAUGUACUUUAUGAAUAAGGAUUGGCUAACUCCGUGCCAGCAGCCGCGGUAAUACGGAGGAUCCGAGCGUUAUCCGGAUUUAUUGGGUUUAAAGGGAGCGUAGAUGGGUUUUUAAGUCAGUUGUGAAAUUUUGCGGCUCAAACGUAAAAUUGCAAUUGAUACUGGCAGUCUUGAGUACAGUUGAGGUAGGCGGAAUUCGUGGUGUAGCGGUGAAAUGCUUAGAUAUCACGAAGAACCCCGAUUGCGAAGGCAGCUUACUAAACUGUGACUGACAUUGAUGCUCGAAAGUGUGGGUAUCAAACAGGAUUAGAUACCCGGGUAGUC
rnacentral:rRNA from 1 species